rnacentral:rRNA from 1 species
UAUCAGGAGGAACANCGGNGGCGAAGGCGGGUCUCUGGGCCGAUACUGACGCUGAGGAGCGAAAGCGUGGGGAGCGAACAGGAUUAGAUACCCUGGUAGUCCACGCCGUAAACGUUGGGCGCUAGGUGUGGGGACCAUUCCACGGUUUCUGUGCCGCAGCUAACGCAUUAAGCGCCCCGCCUGGGGAGUACGGCCGCAAGGCUAAAACUCAAAGGAAUUGACGGGGGCCCGCACAAGCGGCGGAGCAUGUGGAUUAAUUCGAUGCAACGCGAAGAACCUUACCUGGGUUUGACAUGCACCNAGACAUCCCUAGAGAUAGGGCNUCCCUUGUGGUUGG